rnacentral:rRNA from 1 species
AUUCCCCUAGUAACUGCGAGUGAAGCGGGAAAAGCUCAAAUUUAAAAUCUGGCAGUCUUUGGCUGUCCGAGUUGUAAUCUAGAGAAGUGUUAUCCGCGCUGGACCGUGUACAAGUCUCCUGGAAUGGAGCGUCAUAGAGGGUGAGAAUCCCGUCUUUGACACGGACUGCCAGGGCUUUGUGAUGCGCUCUCAAAGAGUCGAGUUGUUUGGGAAUGCAGCUCAAAAUGGGUGGUAAAUUCCAUCUAAAGCUAAAUAUUGGCGAGAGACCGAUAGCGAACAAGUACCGUGAGGGAAAGAUGAAAAGAACUUUGGAAAGAGAGUUAAACAGUACGUGAAAUUGCUGAAAGGGAAACGCUUGAAGUCAGUCGCAUUGUGUGGGAAUCAACCUUGCUUUUGCUGGGCGUAUUUUCCAUAUGAUGGGUCAGCAUCAAUUUCGACCGUUGGAUAAAGUUCAAGGGAAUGUGGCAUCUUCGGAUGUGUUAUAGCCCUUGGUUGUAUACAACGAUUGGGAUUGAGGAACUCAGCACGCCGAAAGGCCGGGUCUCGUACCACGUUCGUGCUUAGGAUGCUGGCAUAAUG